GGCGUUAAGUUGCAGGGUAUAGACCCGAAACCCGGUGAUCUAGCCAUGGGCAGGUUGAAGGUUGGGUAACACUAACUGGAGGACCGAACCGACUAAUGUUGAAAAAUUAGCGGAUGACCUGUGGCUGGGGGUGAAAGGCCAAUCAAACCGGGAGAUAGCUGGUUCUCCCCGAAAGCUAUUUAGGUAGCGCCUCGUGAAUUCAUCUCCGGGGGUAGAGCACUGUUUCGGCUAGGGGGCCAUCCCGGCUUACCAACCCGAUGCAAACUGCGAAUACCGGAGAAUGUUAUCACGGGAGACACACGGCGGGUGCUAACGUCCGUCGUGAAGAGGGAAACAACCCAGACCGCCAGCUAAGGUCCCAAAGUCAUGGUUAAGUGGGAAACGAUGUGGGAAGGCCCAGACAGCCAGGAUGUUGGCUUAGAAGCAGCCAUCAUUUAAAGAAAGCGUAAUAGCUCACUGGUCGAGUCGGCCUGCGCGGAAGAUGUAACGGGGCUAAACCAUGCACCGAAGCUGCGGCAGCGACGCUGAUGCGUUGUUGGGUAGGGGAGCGUUCUGUAAGCCUGUGAAGGUGGCCUGUGAGGGUUGCUGGAGGUAUCAGAAGUGCGAAUGCUGACAUAAGUAACGAUAAAGCGGGUGAAAAGCCCGCUCGCCGGAAGACCAAGGGUUCCUGUCCAACGUUAAUCGGGGCAGGGUGAGUCGACCCCUAAGGCGAGGCCGAAAGGCGUAGUCGAUGGGAAACGGGUUAAUAUUCCCGUACUUGGUGUUACUGCGAAGGGGGGACGGAGAAGGCUAUGUUGGCCGGGCGACGGUUGUCCCGGUUUAAGCGUGUAGGCUGGUUUUCCAGGCAAAUCCGGAAAAUCAAGGCUGAGGCGUGAUGACGAGGCACUACGGUGCUGAAGCAACAAAUGCCCUGCUUCCAGGAAAAGCCUCUAAGCAUCAGGUAACAUCAAAUCGUACCCCAAACCGACACAGGUGGUCAGGUAGAGAAUACCAAGGCGCUUGAGAGAACUCGGGUGAAGGAACUAGGCAAAAUGGUGCCGUAACUUCGGGAGAAGGCACGCUGACAUGUAGGUGAAGUGAUUUACUCAUGGAGCUGAAGUCAGUCGAAGAUACCAGCUGGCUGCAACUGUUUAUUAAAAACACAGCACUGUGCAAACACGAAAGUGGACGUAUACGGUGUGACGCCUGCCCGGUGCCGGAAGGUUAAUUGAUGGGGUCAGCGCAAGCGAAGCUCCUGAUCGAAGCCCCGGUAAACGGCGGCCGUAACUAUAACGGUCCUAAGGUAGCGAAAUUCCUUGUCGGGUAAGUUCCGACCUGCACGAAUGGCGUAAUGAUGGCCAGGCUGUCUCCACCCGAGACUCAGUGAAAUUGAACUCGCUGUGAAGAUGCAGUGUACCCGCGGCAAGACGGAAAGACCCCGUGAACCUUUACUAUAGCUUGACACUGAACAUUGAGCCUUGAUGUGUAGGAUAGGUGGGAGGCUUUGAAGUGUGGACGCCAGUCUGCAUGGAGCCGACCUUGAAAUACCACCCUUUAAUGUUUGAUGUUCUAACGUGGACCCGUAAUCCGGGUUGCGGACAGUGUCUGGUGGGUAGUUUGACUGGGGCGGUCUCCUCCUAAAGAGUAACGGAGGAGCACGAAGGUUGGCUAAUCCUGGUCGGACAUCAGGAGGUUAGUGCAAUGGCAUAAGCCAGCUUGACUGCGAGCGUGACGGCGCGAGCAGGUGCGAAAGCAGGUCAUAGUGAUCCGGUGGUUCUGAAUGGAAGGGCCAUCGCUCAACGGAUAAAAGGUACUCCGGGGAUAACAGGCUGAUACCGCCCAAGAGUUCAUAUCGACGGCGGUGUUUGGCACCUCGAUGUCGGCUCAUCACAUCCUGGGGCUGAAGUAGGUCCCAAGGGUAUGGCUGUUCGCCAUUUAAAGUGGUACGCGAGCUGGGUUUAGAACGUCGUGAGACAGUUCGGUCCCUAUCUGCCGUGGGCGCUGGAGAACUGAGGGGGGCUGCUCCUAGUACGAGAGGACCGGAGUGGACGCAUCACUGGUGUUCGGGUUGUCAUGCCAAUGGCACUGCCCGGUAGCUAAAUGCGGAAGAGAUAAGUGCUGAAAGCAUCUAAGCACGAAACUUGCCCCGA
rnacentral:rRNA from 1 species